rnacentral:sRNA from 1 species
GUUAAAAAUUUUUUUUGUAGAGACAGGGUCUCCCUAUGUUGCCCAGGCUGGUAUUGAACUCCUGGCCCCUAGGGAUUCUCCCAUCUAAGCUUCCCAAAGUGUCGGGAUUACAGGUGUGGCCACUGCACAGGGCCAGGACAAGGAUUCUUAAUCCCACUCCAGGAUGGGAAACCCAUGGCCGAGUGGGAAGAAACCAGCUGAGGUCACAUCACCAGAGGAGGGAGAGUGUGGCGCCUGACUCAGUCCAUCAGCUUGUGUAGCUGAGGUCUCGGCCAGGUCUAACCAGGCUCCCCACUCCUCCCAACCUGAGCCUGCCCUCUGAUCUCUGCCUGUUCCUCUGUCCCACAGGGGGCAAAGGCUACGGGUCAGAGAGCGGGGAGGAGGACUUUGCUGCCUUUCGAGCCUGGCUGCGCUGCUAUGGCAUGCCAGGCAUGAGCUCCCUGCAGGACCGGCAUGGCCGUACCAUCUGGUUCCAGGGGGAUCCUGGACCGUUGGCACCUAAAGGUAAGCUACUCCUAAUGUAAUAGGCUAAGAGAGCAGAAAGGACUUCACGCCUGCAAGGGCUACAGCACCCUUCUCCACCCUAUCCCCCUGCAACCCUGGGAGUCACCCCUGGGCAGGAUAGGACCCUCCAACUCCAACAGCAGUGUCCUGCAGGGCGCAAGUCCCGCAAAAAGAAAUCCAAGGCCACACAGCCGAGUCCUGAGGACAGAGUGGAGGACCCUUUGCCUCCAAGCAAGGCCCCUUCCAGGACACGAAGGGCAAAGAGAGACCUUCCUAAGAGGACUGCAACCCAGUGGCCUGAGGGGACCAGCCUCCAGCAGGACCCAGAAGCUCCCACAGUGCCCAAGAAGGGGAGGAGGAAGGGGCGACAGGCAGCCUCUGGCCACUGCAGACCCCGGAAGGUCAAGGCUGACAUCCCAUCCUUGGAACCAGAGGGGACCUCAGCCUCUUAGCAGGAGGCUCUCCUUGCUUGCACUCACCCUUUCUUAUUGUCUUGCCCUGCAUCUGGGGGUCUGAAUUUUUGGGAGCAGGCAAUAUCUGAAGGUGCAAACAGGCCCUACGGCUGUUCCCUGCACAACCCUCAUGGUUUUAAUUGUACCCCAUCUUCCACAUCUUUAAAGCUCAUGUGAAAAAUGCUGCAUUUUUAAUAAACUGAUAAAUUUGAA